CUCGGACAUUUCCGUACCAUCCGGGGGAGCUAGCGACAUUGGUAACACUGACGAUGCUCCUUUCCAGAUGGUAUCUCCGGUGACUAAUUCGCGCAUUCGCGGACAGUACUGGAUAGUGCGGAUUACGGCGAGUAGUGUUUCAACGUUUCGGGUGCAGUGCGUGAGAUGAUCUUUGAGUUACGAUAAUUGAGGAAUCCAGGGAGAGAAAUAGUAAUAAGUAUAAUUUAUAAAAAACUACAUCAUGACAGAAUACAAGCUUGUAGUAGUUGGAGCUGGAGGCGUUGGAAAAUCAGCACUUACCAUUCAGCUAAUACAAAAUCACUUUGUUGACGAAUAUGAUCCUACUAUAGAAGAUUCGUAUAGAAAACAAGUUGUGAUCGAUGGAGAAACGUGCCUUCUAGAUAUAUUAGACACAGCGGGACAAGAGGAAUACAGUGCAAUGAGAGAUCAGUAUAUGAGAACAGGAGAAGGAUUCUUAUUAGUGUUUGCCGUAAAUUCGGCUAAAAGUUUUGAAGAUAUAGGAACAUAUAGGGAACAAAUAAAACGAGUAAAAGAUGCGGAAGAAGUACCAAUGGUAUUAGUCGGAAAUAAGUGCGAUCUUCAGCAGUCCUGGGCGGUGAACAUGACUCAAGCGAGAGAAAUUGCGCGACAGUAUGGUGUGCCAUUUGUAGAAACUUCGGCGAAAACGAGGAUGGGUGUAGACGAUGCCUUUUAUACUUUGGUCAGAGAAAUACGGAAAGAUAAAGAACGCACGGGUAAACCGCCCGGCAGUUCCGGAGGCAAGAAACGUCGAUGCUAUAUUUUAUAAAUCCGUGGAUAACACCAAUAUACUUUCACUCGACUAUUACAAUGUAGAAAUAGUGAAUAUGAAAAGCCUUACAUUAUGUUCACAGUACACAAAUAUUUGCAGCUUACUCUAUAUAGAUACUAAUUGUAAAAAACAGAUUGCAGCACAAUUUUUUCUAUUGAGAAUCAUUGAGAAGGAAGAACAAAUUACCUAAUAGUACUGUACGAUAUUACAUACAUUUUUACUAACGGGCUUAUGUUUUUCACAUAAGACAUAUUUAUCAGGCAAUUCGUAAUAUUCCAUUCGAAUGAAGUGUCUUAACCCUUGAUUGAACGAAAUGACGAUACUACUAAUUCUCUUUGUUACAUACGUGAAUAUAAGUGGUUCAUUGCAGAACAAACAGGCCAAUGAUAAAACGUAAAACGUAUCACGCCCAAUACGCCAAGCAAAUGAGACUAUCGUUCGAAACAAAGUAUAAAAGCACCGAGUCAUGAAGAAAAUAUCACAAACUUAAUUCAUUAUGUGCUGUGAUUAAAUAUUCUUAAGUACAUCAGAUUAGUUAAGUGUUACUGUGAUUAAGCCUGCAAUUCUUUUCUUUAACUAAGAAUUUAUUUAGUAAUUGUAGGAGAAUGCACAAACAUAAGAUCCUACUUAAGGAACAUGAAUUGUUUUUCAUACGAUUUCCAAGUAAAUAUGGAUCAAAUAACGAGUAUUGUAUAUCCUCGUCAAAAUAAAAUUCGCGCACAUGCCGAUUGUUAAAUUUCGAGAGGAGAAUAUCGCUUUCUUGUAUUAAUUUCUCAUAUUUUAUCUAUAUAUAUUAUUAACCAAAGGCUUAAUAUCCAAUUAAUCACGUACAUUUUAAAAACGUAUAAUUCUAGAAAUAAUGGGAUUUAUUGCAAGAAAGCUAUAUUCCUGCUAGUGUAUGCCUAUAAAUUUACUUUACAGUUUAGCAAUAUAUGUAUGUAUACUUAAAACUGCUAUUUUCCUAAACUUUAAGGAGAACCGUAAGAUAGCCACGCUGCUUUAAUUGAAACAGUGGAACAAACUUGCGUUUCUGCUUUUAAGUAAUAAAAAAAUUUGCUAAUUAAUUCACCAUGAUAUAACGUACACACGUACACACCAUAGGUAAUAGAGUAAAUGUAUAUUAACCGUGAUUUAUUGCGAUAUACUCCUAGUUUAAUCGAUAAAAUUAUUAUAAACUACCAGCAUAAGUACAGUACUCAAGUUGAUUGAGUAUUUUUUUCCGACAAUAAAAUAAUUUCGAUACAAUGAAUUUAUUCUUCAAUCAAUAUACAAGGUUGACUAGAUUAUAUAAUAUGUUCAAGAAACAAUCAAGGGUUAAAUCCUUCACUAAACGAUGCAAUUGAUAAAACUUCCAUAUUUUCAUAUGCGCGUGUAACAUGUAAUAUUUUUAAUAUUGUUUUCAGGUAAUGAAAAACAAUUUCUGUAUCCGUAAACAUAUAGCAUGCAGAACAUAUAGAUAUCAUUACAUAAUUUAACACUACAUAAUGAAAUUGUAUAUAAAAUUUGUUAUAUGCAUUCACUCGUUGAAUGCUUGCCUAGAAAAUCGUUACGACUCAUCCAUGCGAUUUACUUUUAUAACAUUAAUUAAAAUCUUUAUAACUUCCUUGUAACGAUAUUUCAUCAUUAAUACGAAUCCUUAGAAAUAAACCAUUCAUGAAUAGUA
rnacentral:misc_RNA from 1 species